CUGCCACUGGGGAUGAACUGUAAAUGCGUGGAAUUUAGUGAAUUCCCGCUUACUUGAUGGUCUUAUCCUUCCAGACAAGAGUAUUACCGAUGGAGAUAUUAAGGAAACAAAACUCUGGCAUGAAUCCCAGGGCAACAAACCCUCCAAUAAAUUGCAGUACGAAAGAUAAUGCAUGAAGGCUAUCACAAGAGAUUUAAUACAGACUCAUCUUCUGAGGUGAUAUAUAAAGGUGCUGGUGAUGGAUGGGGCGCUGGUAGAGGUAAAGUGAAUACUACUUCCAAUAUACCUAGCUCUUCUUUUGCCCAACAGAACUCAAAUGAACGGGUCAGGCCAAAUGGAAGAGCUCAGUCGAUGAACAAUAAUCAUUGGCUGCCUAGAAAUGGUGUAAAAUUUUGUGCUCUUAGCUAUCGAGGGAGGGGACAGCAUGGUGCAACCGUUUCUCCGACUUACUC